rnacentral:rRNA from 1 species
UACGUAGGGGGCAAGCGUUGUCCGGAAUCAUUGGGCGUAAAGAGCGUGUAGGCGGCUUGGUAAGUCCGCUGUGAAAGUCCAGGGCUCAACCCUGGAAUGCCGGUGGAAACUGUCGAGCUAGAGUCCGGAAGAGGCGAGUGGAAUUCCUGGUGUAGCGGUGAAAAUGCGCAGAUAUCAGGAGGAACACCAAUGGCGAAGGCAGCUCGCUGGGACGGUACUGACGCUGAGACGCGAAAGCGUGGGGAGCAAACAGG